GAAAAUUCAGCUUAGCUGAUAAUAUUUAUACAAUAAUUCAGUAACAGCCGCUCAUAAAACAGACCCUGCCCCAUAAAAUUUACAAUGUAAAGCAGACAUAUAAAUGGGAUGAAAUGGCAAUAAUAUAAUGUUAUAGGGACUUGGUGUAGGGAAGCUGUUGACCAAGGCCAUCCAGCCUUGCAUGGACAGAGGCAAGAACUGGGCCCAGCUGGGAAUUUGCCACCCCUGUCCAGCACCCUGCAGAAAAGUUGCCUCUCCAGCAGCCUUUUUUUCUGGGAACAGCUAUCUGCCCAUUGACUGCGAUGCUUCCGGAUCCAACAUGAACUUCAUCUAGCAGACAGCCGAUAUCAGCCUGAAAGGACUUACUUUCUUUAGGAUAUCCAAGGCCUAUAUCCGUGGCAAUUUCAGUCAGCUGAAUGCAGACAAUAGCCACACUUAUCUGAAAUGCUGCAACACUGGCAGCUAAUGCACGCUAAGUUAAUCACUGGCAUAUUUGUAGACUGCCAAGUAUAUAAUAGCGCGAUAAUGAAUUUGUAUGGCUGGGCCUAUAAAAACUUUGCUUUUUAUACUCAGGCAUUUUAAUUGACACAGAAAUACAUUUUAAAAGAGAAAGCAGGCUUGAUGAGGUCAGCUUAAAUUCCUUGGUAUAAUUACCAAGUCCAUUGAACACAAAUCUGAAAUCAUUUAGGUUAAGUUAAUAACUUAUGCCUUUAGUUUAUAAGCACCACAUUACAUUUCAGGAAGCUCAGAUCUUGGCUUUGCUAAAGUGGCCUGGCCUUUAAUAAAUUCCUCCCCACGUUUUUCAUGUUAUAGUUCUUUUACAAUCAUGGUUUUCAAAUGGCAGUGCAGGUACAGUGUGUUUAAAUCACCAUAAAUUAGACUUUUUUAUUUUUUUGUCUGGCUAUAGCACCUUUAUUGUAAGUUCUCUACUUUUCUUUCAGCCACAAAAGUUAUUACAGGCGCAGAUCGGAAAUGAAAAAUAAGCCAUGCACCGUCUGCGAAUGUCCCAUGCCAGACCCCUCCUGGAGCAGGAUCACUUUCAGAGUUUUCCAGAGGAUUUCACUCCAAAUUCACGCCUGAAUCACCACCAGCCCCACCAGCAAACAGGAGAGGGGCGGCACAAGGAGCAAAAAACCUCCUCUCUCACCGUGUUCCUGGGAUCUUCUUUACUCGGAGAGAUACUGAUAUCACAGAGGAGCCUACAGAGCCCUGUCUUGUUUAAUGUGCACAGGCUGACACUAAGACAGCAGCUUGAAAUGCAAAGGAACACAAGUACAGUAAUUGCAGCAUCUUGCGGUGGUGCUCACAACGCCGCCGCGCUCCUGACUGCCAGCCAAGAGGAAUUUCCCAGGGGGAUGUACAGCGAAACCUUCCUCUGGUGGGGCCAGACAAAGUGAUGUUUUGUUACUGAGCGGUAACAAAGAAAAUUCUUUUAAUUCCGUGCAAUGUGAACCUCCAGGUUCCAGCUCAGGUUUUGUGCUGUUUACAUAAGGAAUGAAAUGAGCACCAGCCACCGGAGCACUUGUGGAGGGCUGUGGAGGUGCUGUGUCCAGAAAGGGCAUAUUUUUCAGAAGAUGCCCAAUGGCAGAGCAGUGCCCGAGUCCUACCAAAUGAUUAAUGCGAGUUUUGUUCUUCUAUCUAAUUGGAGAUUUUGAAAUUCCUAUGGCAAUCUCAUACAAGCUCUAGAUGCACAAACAAGGCUCACCGUGCUCGAGCAGCUCCUCACCUGAGUCUCAAGCAAAGAGCCUGCAAAAAUGAGUUAGCUCAGUCCCACAGCCAUGCAGGUGGAUGAAGUAACCUGAAAAGAAGUGGUUUUAAUGGUUUGGAGACUAAAGGUAUCUGUGGCUGCUAGGGGCAGAAACAGAGAAGACAGACAUGCCCCUGGAGCAUCCCUCAGUGUGUCCAACAAGAGGCCUCAGGAGGAAGCAGCGGGGGUGUCCUAAGAAAUGAUGGGGGUCAGCAGGACGAGGGAGGAUGGCAGCCACUUAUUAUUAAUCCUGUUGCACAGGGCAGACCUUCCAUCACUCCUAUGAUGGAGAAAUGUAGGGUUCAGUCCUGUGGAUAUAGUUUUUAGGUACAAGAUUCAGACACUAUGGCCACCUACAUCCUGGUUUAGAAGAGGAGCUGAGGUAAGUGGGCUCAGGUUUCAAUGGGAAUUAGGCAACAAAUACUUCAAAAAUAUUUUCAGAAAUCUUUCAGGUGCCAAACUGCAGGUCGGGAGUGCUAAAUACCCCUAAAAAUCCACCCCUUGUACAAGCCAGAGUGUACAAGGCUAAAUCACAGAAUAAACUGGGAUGUGGGGAUCA
rnacentral:lncRNA from 1 species